CCGCAGCCGAGCGGGGGAUGGGCUCCUGCCGGCCCGGGCCGCGCGGCCCCCGCGCUCUCCGGGCCCCGCACUCCAGGUUUCCGCCCCAGCGGGGAGAGGAGCGCGGCGCGCACACACAACGCCUCUUAAAGGCUCCGCGAGAGGCUUUGGAUGGAAUCGAGGACUUCGCCUCUCGCAACUUGGCGAUGCCACGGAAUCCGCCGCUCGCGCACCACCCGGGACUCCCGGCGUAUCUUUGUGCCCACAAUGCCAGAGAAAGAGAAAAGUUGCCCGGUUUCUUUGCAGAAGGGUAGUGGGUGGGGAUGGGAAGGUGCCGCGCACCGAGCUUGCAGGCGUUUUCCAAACGAAUGAUUUGGUCAAAUCCGGGUGAUGGUAGACCCUUCUCUUAAUCAACUCUGAUCACUUGCUUGGUUUGGUGGCUCACUUUUUUUUUUUCUUUUUUAGAGGAGAAAAGCCGUUCAGUAUCUGUCUUUUCCUUGUAGAGUUAACAUUUCACAGGUAUGUGGCCUGACAUUUUAAUUGCUCGAAUAAAGCAUCUCGGAUGCUGAGAAUCAGGAGUAGACUUCAUCUCGUUGUCAUGACGCAAUUAAAAUCAGUUUUCCUCAACUUUAUCCUCUUUCGUUAGUUUUGGCUAACUGGCAAGCCAACGUCCUGCCACACACCCAGUUGUGGUGAGAGCAGAAAAGACCGUUCUGCUCGCUGAUGGACAAGCGGAGGCAGCCUCCCAGCCUCCCUUGUGCGUACCCUCUGUACACAUAUGUAAGUGCACACGCAUCAGAUGCACAUUUGUCAAUGUACACAGACAAAGACUUCAGCGACUAUGCUGCUAGGUCAUAGAACAGUUGAGUACCGACUUCAUUGUUUCUCAAGUUCCUUUUAAGCAUUCAUACAAUCAUUAAAAUACACCCAGAGAUUCUGCCCCAAAUUGGGAAUAAUAGCAAGUACAACUCACAAGAACCACACACAAGCCAUAUUCUCUCUCAAGGGAUCCACUGCAAUAAGAACAGCUUCUAGCCUCUACCGUUUUGCUCCAUGUGCUAAAAUCGUCGACACAGUUGUGUCUCUGAGGUACAGGACAUUUGGUUUUAAACAUCAAACACCUAGAAUCGCCCCCCCCAGAACACACUUUAUUUCAACACAGUAACCUUUUUGUUUGAUUAUGACAAGUUAGUGGAUGAUGAUUAUUCCACAUGUAUAGAAGAAAAUUGUGACUCCAUCCUACACAUUUUGCACCAAGAAAAAACUGUAAACUGGCAAGCCAACCGGGUUUAUGAACAAUUAAAAUAUUUUACACAAAACAUGCUGAGCUUCAGGAAACGUGAACACAUAUAAAUAGUAAAUUAACAACCAAAAGAAAGCAUCCUCGAUAGUUCAAAAAAUUGAAGAGUGGCAGGAUUUAAAAAAUAAGUAAACCAUCCAUAUAACUGACAUGCGGAGAUUGCGUUUUGCACUUAACACCCUUCACACACACAGGCAGAAUACAAGGUAGAAACUAAGGGAAGAUACAGGCAGAUAGGAGCUAGUUUUUAGAGAAGGAAAAAUCCUCUUGACGCUUCAUUCCUGAAACCUUCUGAGCCCUUACCCUUUCUCCGCUGAAAUCACAUAUUUCACUAGAGCUGCAGGUGCUGGGAAUGUAUGAGAGUUGUAAAAAAAAAAAAAAAAAAAAAAAAAAAAGACCUAUAGUGGACACUAAACUAUCAUAAACCUGGUGUGUAAUGAGAUUGCCACAGAGCGAAGCUAGGCAGAGAAUUUCAGGUUGAUUAGAGACACAACAUAACUUUCUCCUAAAGAGGACAAGAAGGAUGGAAAAGAAAUCAUUUUCAGUGAAGAUUUUUUUUCUCCCUCUCUUUCAACCUCUAUGAUUUGAAGAAUUACCUAAUGCUGCAAAUGUCAGUAGAUUGUCUGCAAACUCAGCAGAGGUGUGGUGGGGCUGGGGUUGAGAUAGGAAAUCUAAUGGGCAUUCCCAUCUCAAUUUAAUAGAAGAUGAGAACAAUUGAUUAUAGGGAAAUCUUAAUCUUGCUUCUUAAGUGCAGAAGCCUCCAUAGCAAGAUCACCUUUUACAAACAUGCAGUGGGAAAAUUUGAGGAGGAAGAGCUUUCCCAGUCCACUUAGAGAUUUUUUCUGUUUCAAGUAUGCUCUGAUGGCCUCAGAUUUAAAAUGAAGAAUUUCCCAACCAUCUCCAACAGAACUGGAGCCUGCUAGGCACACGACCACAGGGCUGCCAUGAAGUCAGAGGUGUUUCGCUGUGUAUUUUAGGACUCAUUUGGUAAUGGGGAUGCUAUUACAAAGGAAACAAAAUCCUGUAAAAAUUGUAGUUAAUUUUACUGCAUAGAAGAAGAGAGAGAAUUGCAGACUGAGAAGAAAAAAGAGGGGAAAAUAUUUUAAAAUGCCUUCUUUAGAGAUGCUCAUAAAACAGCUCUAAGACCAAAAGAUAAAUAUCAAUAUGUUGUUACUAUUUUUUUUAAAAAUGCAGCCCAGUCUUUUAUUGCAGAUGUAAAUUUAUUUUAAUGAGACGAAUGGCAAGCUUUAAUUUGGCUGGAGAAAGUUGGAAAAACAUUUGUCUUACUCUGGGGGGAAAAAAAGAAAACCCACCCAGGAAUAUGAUUUUCUUGCAGAAUGUGGCCUGACGGCUGUAAUUCUUCACAAAUUAAAUCACAAUAUGAAUACAGACCCCAGCAAAUGCUGAAUUUAACUCUGAACUCAGUAGAAGCCAGUUCUGUCCACCAGGAUUCAUUGAAUUCCUCUUUUCCCUCAAUCUAGUCCGUGUGUGUUUUUCUCUUCCACCACACUGGAGCUCCAUGAAUAGGGAAAGGGGCUUCCAUUGUGUCCCUCUGAACUUCCAAGUCAAUGCAAUUUUUAACCACUGGCUUGUGGUACUUUGAAAAUCACCAGGGGCUGUCAGAGUUGGGUCCUCUGAAAAAUUUACAGUGCUAAAUCAGAGCAUAUGCUGGGAGGGAAAAAAUUGCUUAAGAUUGGAGCAAGUACAGUAUCUGUCUGCCCCCUAGUGUAAGAGUCCUCGCUGCCUAAAAUUCAACUUUAAAAGAAAAGGAGCUCUUAAAGGGAAACGACUUUGGGCUCACGUAGGCAUAGGAGAAUGAAACUUCUGUACAUUUUAAUCUGAAUAAUUCUUCAGGAUUUAAAAUUAAUUGGCUCUGGCUUGGUUGGACCGCACUCGGAUCUCGCCACCUCUGCAUUUCCCGAGUCACUGGCGGAGAGGCUCAUGAUGCAGCUGCUGCCUGCAGAGCCCUGUGCUGCUGGGGAAGCGAGUGAGGCCUCUGCAGCAGAUGGCUGGGACAGCCAUGAGAAGACCAGGAGGUGGCCACAACAACAGUGCUUUCCAGAUGAGGCUGAGACCACAGCCAAGAUCACCACGGGACGACAUCUCACGUAACCAGAGCACCUUGGUGGCACUUUGGUACGUUGGGGAUCUUGAGAGUGGAGGCAUUUCAGCAGACAGAGGUCCAGCACACCCUUGAAAGUGUUCAUAUCUGCUGGAUUCUAGAUGCAAGUCCUGUCUUCACUGGCUUCAACACGGGAGAAGCCGUUACUGGGAUGAAGGAGGCUCAUUCGUGGAGAUCAAAUCAAAGAGGGUUAGUCUGCCUACCUGAAGAAUUCUACUGAAGAAAGUCGGCCAACUACCUUUAAGUAUUAACUUCUCAACGACCCAGAAAAAGGUACCGCAGUGAACCUGAAGAAGUGCCAGUGGGCAGGUGAGAGUGGAGACGUCAGUGAGCAGUCUGAACUUCUGCCUGUCCGUGACUUGGAAACCAAAGUCCCCAAACCCUGGAGGGUUGAUGGGAGAGUGCAGGGUGGGGUGGGGGAGCAGGCUGGGUACUAGGAUGAUGUGAACGAGGCCACUCUGAGAGUGAGCACCUUCUUACAUGUGACACUCUAGGUGCCUCCUGGACCCAUUCAAAAAAUGUUGGUUCUCCAGCCUUCCUUCCCAAGGUCAGUUUGACAAAUACUUCUUGAGGGUCCACCCUGUGCCAAGUGCCAUGCUUAGUGUUGAAAGUUCUUGCUGAAUACCACAGGCUUCUGGCUCUGACCCCUGCUGCAAUCAUAGACCUCUCCGCCUUCCUUCUUCUGGAUCCCUCUACUUUGGGAAGACACAGGGUCUUUGGGUCACUUAUUAGCUGCUGGGUGGCCUAGCGUAAGUUGAUUCACUUCUCUGAAGCUUGUCUUCCUCAGCUGGAAAAAGGGGCUUGGACUCCUGCCUCACAGAGUGGAGAAGAUUGAACGUAACAGUGUCCUUAUGCUUGCCCCAAAGAUUACACACAGAAACGAUAAAGGGGGAGGCGACCACCACCCCACUGUUUACCUUCUAGCUCAUGAAGACUGCUUUUUCAGGUAAUUUAUAUCACCCUCAGCUGAAACGAUCUGCUGUUAGAUACAAGCCUCCUGUAUCUGUAGGCGCUGAGCUCUCUUCAUCAAAUAUGGUUAUCAGAAAACUGUGCCCCUUGGGACAAACGAAUUACAAAAAGGCCACCCUUCCUUCAGGCGGGUGUAGCCAGCACUGGAUGCUCAGUCUGGUGGGAGAACCAACUGGAUUGCCACUGUCCCUUCGGCUGGGCACCCUUGUGCCAGGCACAGCCUUCACGACUGUCUAUGAUGGUCCUGCCAGCACUUCACACGGGUCUUGGCCCGACAUACACACUCAGUAAAUGUUUUCAGACUCGAUUACAGUCACUGUUGUGUCUAGAAUGAUGGCAUUAUAUUUUCAAAGAAAUUACUUCAGUCAUCGGAAAGGCGUAGUGGAUAAAUUACGGAUGAAAUGUAAAAAGUCACCACAAUAGUGUUCUUUUGUCCUCUUAAAAUGUUUCUUCCUCUCAGUCGAUCAUGCAAAAGAAUAUACUAUUUCACUCCUUCUGGGUUUGCCGGAUGUAAGUGGUUACAGGUUUUUUUUAGUGACCAUGAAAAGCAUGGAGAAACUGACGUAAAACAGAUUGUUAAAGAAGGCUAUGUGUGUCGUUAUGCAUACAGGAUUCCCCACGAUGAGGUAAGGGAGGUGAAGGAGAAAUUGAGAAUAAUUUGGAGGGAAAGUUAGCUGUGAUAUAGAAUAUUUUGUUGGUUUAACUAUUUUUCUUUUGCUUCUUCAGUAAAGACGGUUUGGAUGCUGAAAGUCAAAUCAUUAAUAGAUGGAAGAGCUGCAUAGUCUUCUGUUUUGCAUUUUUAUUUUGUCUUGGUUUGUAGCAGGACCAUGAAGAGAAAUUUUAAGAAUGCAAGUUUUAUUCUCUUUCCGUGUUUUACCCUCGAGCUACAGCACUUUUGACUACAACUACCCACAAAGAGGAGAUUCUGUCAGAGGGAGGGGGGAUGUGAACCGUUUUUAUAGGUUUCAUCCUCCAAGACAGCUGCCAAGGAGGUCAGAUGCUUCUCUAUGGAGCAGGAAAUGCAAGUCUCCCUAAAAGGAAAAAAGCAGGAUGCGAUUUUAUGUAAAAGACAGGAGAACAGGGUAAAACUGAACUAAAAAAAGGAAUUGCUCUGUAUGUGGGGCAGUUGCCUUUAGUAAGAUCCUAAGGAUUAGAUUUGUAGCUCCCAAGGAGGUAAGUGAGUCGCUGUAGAUGUCUGUCUCUUAGGUGGGCUUGAAGAAUCAAAGAGAAAUGAGUUUUAGUUUGAAUAUAGAAAAUGUAGACUCUGUCACUGGGCUGAAGGAGGAGCAAAUGGCUUUUCACCCACAAGAGUAUUCCACAAACUCAUAUUCUUUUCUCUUCUUCAUUCUGAUUUUUUUUUUUUGCCUCCCCCCUUUUAUUUCCCUCAGAAUUUGUAUUAAAUUCGUUACACGUUCUUCAGGGAGAGAGGUUCUCAAGGGUUUAAUCGACUUGUAAGAUGCUAUGAAUAAAAAAAGGGGGGGAUAGGAAUUCACCAUUGCUUCGUUGGACUAAACUAUAGCUCAUCUCAAUAUACCCUUCUCCUCCAGGAAGCUCUGAGUCUCCAAGGCCUUUAUUAACUUGAUCUUUGGGAAUAGUGUUUUAAUUUUUUCCAUAAUCAUCAUGCAAAUUGAUCAUGAUAAUCUCUGGAAAGGAAAAUGAGUGAACCAAUGGCCUCAUUAAUUCCAAUGCUAGGGGGACCCACGUUCCUAAGAGCUGGGACCUUAGCCCACAGUGGCCAAGGCCUUCUUUGUGUAUGCAUUGGUCUGGUCCCCAGGGCAAGUAUGGCUUGUUCCUUGCCUGGCCUGUUUAAAUUGCCUCAUGCAUUCACUUCCUCACAAAAUAAUGAGGG